UACAGAGGUCUCAAGCGUUGUUCGGAUUCAUUGGGCGUAAAGGGUGCGUAGGCGGCGCGGUAAGUCGGGUGUGAAAUCUCGGAGCUUAACUCCGAAACUGCAUUCGAUACUGCCGUGCUUGAGGACUGGAGAGGGAAGCGGAAUUCCGGGUGUAGCGGUGAAAUGCGUAGAUAUCCGGAGGAACACCGGUGGCGAAGGCGGCUUCCUGGACCGACACUGACGCUGAGGCGCGAAAGCUAGGGGAGCAAACGGG
rnacentral:rRNA from 1 species